rnacentral:lncRNA from 1 species
ACGAGCGUAGCUUCCUUGUCGUGUGGCCUCAGUCCUUCGCCGUCCCUCGCCGUCCUUCGCCAUCGCACGCCACCGCACCCCAUCUCUCGAAAUCUGCAGACAUCUUGAUUUUUCCCACGCUGUCUGUCAGGUCUCCGCCGCCACUCGACGCCAGGGCGCCGGGUGAGUCCACAGCAGGGCGCAUGGUCGGCUCCACUCUCACCAUCGGGGGAAACUGAGGCCCCGGGGAAGGCGGCCAGAGAGGUCAGGCCCUGUCCUUGGUGCAGUGUCUCGUCCUCUUUGCCGGAGUGAGCCCCCCAGGAUUCGCGUGUCCUCGGGAAAGACACUGGCAGGCCUUGUGGGCUGUGCUGCACCUCGGACGGCUUCGCACCAGCCAGCGCCCUCUCUCUCCUGCAGCACUCUGAUCUGCACCCCCUGAGGGGCUUCCACUGUCCGCGGGGUGAGAAUGCCCCUGGGAGUGUCACAUGACUGCCGCCCCAUGUGUGUGAGAGGCGUCCUCUGGGAGAGCAUGGAUCCUGAGGUCCCAGGAAAACAGGUGCCUGUGCCACAUUAUUUGCACGGAGAGACUGUGUCCAGUGAACGGUUCUGAUCAGUAAACUGUUGACUAGGAACAUCCCGAGAGCCAAGUUCCCAGAUGCCAGCCAAGGGCCAUCUGACCUGUUUUGAAUCUCAAUUUCCUGAUACAGAAAACAAAGGAUUGUCAGCUGACCUCUGUCCUGUGUGCCCAGUGGCCCCAGGUGACGUGUCUUCAAGAAGAGGCUGAGCUGCGGUGCUUGUAAGAGUCAUGUGCUGUUCCUGGGGCUUGGAUGAUGUAGGGGAAGCAAGGUGAAAGUGGUAUCCCGUGGUUCCACGUUCUGUCCUGCUGUGGGGCUGUCCCUCACAUGCUUUCAGUGGCUGUUGCAGAGGAAGAGCCUCCGGAAAUCUGCGUGGGUCUCAGCCUUAGAUCCAAGGACAGUCCAAGGAAGUCCUAAGACCAUGGAGUUGGUGAUCUGGGAUCUGGGUUUGCUGAUAUUUCUCACCGUGAAUCUCUUGGUGGUGUUUGUGGGCACGAGAGGGGCAGAGAAUGGAGAGUGAGGCUACCACAUGAAGCGUCACCAGAGCUGCUCCCUGCUGCCUGCUCAGAGCACCCCGGAUCCACUGUUCAAUCUGCACAAGAUUCGGGGUCCAGACAUGGGAGACUUCAGCUGCCUCAGAGGACCGUGGACAGGGAAGGCCAGCCUCGCAUCCCUCUGUCCAUGCCUGGAAUGACUUUAAUAACCAAGAGUUUUAUUUUUGAAUUUGUAGCUGUCGUUCACUUUUUACCCACCCAUUCAAUAAACCUUACAGAAUUGC